rnacentral:tRNA from 1 species
UCCCUUGUGGCUCAGCUGGUAAAGAACCUGCCUGCAAUGCAGGAGACCUGGGUUCAAUCCCUGGCUUGGGAA